rnacentral:rRNA from 1 species
AUUGAACGCUGGCGGCAGGCUUAACACAUGCAAGUCGAGCGAGCGGCGGACGGGUGAGUAAUGUCUGGGAAACUGGCUGAUGGAGGGGGAUAACUACUGGAAACGGUAGAUAAUACCGCAUAACAUCAGAUGUGCCCAGGUGGGAUUAGCUAGUAGGUGGGGUAAUGGCUCACCUAGGCGACGAUCCCUAGCUGGGCUGAGAGGAUGACCGGCCACACUGGGACUGAGACACGGUCCAGAGUCCUACGGGAGGCAGCAGUGGGGAAUAUUGCGCAAUGGGCGCAAGCCUGAUGCAGCCAUGCCGCGUGUGUGAAGAAGGUCUUCGGGUUGUAAAGCACUUUCAGUGGGGAGGCGUUACCCGCAGAAGAAGCACCGGCUAACUCCGUGCCAGCAGCCGCGGUAAUAC